rnacentral:rRNA from 1 species
CAGGCCUAACACAUGCAAGUCGAACGGCAGCACGGGAGCUUGCUCCUGGUGGCGAGUGGAGGACGGGUGAGUAACGCGUAUGUCAUCUGCCUGAUAUUGGGGGACAACUUGGGGAAACUCAAGCUAAUACCGCAUACGCCCUACGGGGGAAAGCGCAGGAUCUUCGGACUUCGCGCUAUCAGAUGAGCCUGCGUAGGAUUAGCUUGUUGGUGGGGUAAAGGCUCACCAAGGGGACGAACCUUAACUGGUCUGAAAAGAUGAUCAGCCACACUGGGACUGAAACACGGCCCAGACUCCUACGGGAGGCAGCAGUGGGGAAUAUUGGACAAUGGGCGAAAGCCUGAUCCAGCAAUGCCGCGUGUGUGAAUAAGGCCUGCGGGUUGUAAAGCACUUUCAGUAGCGAAGAAAAGCUGAUGGUUAAUACCCAUUGGUCUUGACGUUAACUACAGAAGAAGCACCGGCUAACUCCGUGCCAUCAGUCGCGGUAAU